CAAAACUUUCAACAACGUAUCUCUUGGCUCUUGCAUCGAUGAAGAACGCAGCGAAAUGCGAUAAGUAAUGUGAAUUGCAGAAUUCAGUGAAUCAUCGAAUCUUUGAACGCACAUUCGCGCCCGCCAGUAUUCUGGCGGGCAAUGCCUGUCCGAGCGUC
rnacentral:rRNA from 1 species